GCAGGGGUGGCGGAAUGGUAGACGCGCAAGGUUGAGGGUCUUGUUGACGAAGUCAGUGAGAGUUCGAGUCUCUUCCCCUGCACCA
rnacentral:tRNA from 1 species